GACGAACGCUGGCGGCGUGCUUAACACAUGCAAGUCGAACGGUGAAAGCGGAGCUUGCUCCGCUGGAUCAGUGGCGAACGGGUGAGUAACACGUGGGCAACCUGCCCCUCACUUCGGGAUAACUCCGGGAAACCGGGGCUAAUACCGGAUAUGACCUCCUUGGGCAUCCUUGGAGGUGGAAAGUUUUUCGGUGAGGGAUGGGCCCGCGGCCUAUCAGCUUGUUGGUGAGGUAGUGGCUCACCAAGGCGACGACGGGUAGCCGGCCUGAGAGGGCGACCGGCCACACUGGGACUGAGACACGGCGCAGACUCCUACGGGAGGCAGCAGUGGGGAAUUUUGGACAAUGGGGGCAACCCUGAGCCAGCAAUGCCGAGUGAGUGAAGAAGGCCUUCGGGUUGUAAAGCUCUUUUGUCAGGGAAGAAACACCGGCUCUAACACAGUCCGGGAAUGACGGUACCUGAAGAAUAAGCACCGGCUAAC
rnacentral:rRNA from 1 species